rnacentral:rRNA from 1 species
GAUGAACGCUGGCGGCGUGCUUAACACAUGCAAGUCGAACGAGAAAUGGAGACGGAAACCUUCGGGCGGAAGGCUUCAUUUCGAGUGGCGGACGGGUGAGUAACGCGUGGGUAACCUGCCUCAUACAGGGGGAUAACAGUUGGAAACGACUGUUAAUACCGCAUAAGACCACAGCACCGCAUGGUGCGGGGGUAAAAACUCCGGUGGUAUGAGAUGGACCCGCGUUCGAUUAGCCAGUUGGCGGGGUAACGGCCCACCAAAGCGACGAUCGAUAGCCGAUCUGAGAGGAUGACCGGCCACAUUGGGACUGAGACACGGCCCAAACUCCUACGGGAGGCAGCAGUGAGGAAUAUUGCACAAUGGGGGAAACCCUGAUGCAGCGACGCCGCGUGAGUGAAGAAGUACUUCGGUAUGUAAAGCUCUAUCAGCAGGGAAGAAAAUGACGGUACCUGAGUAAGAAGCCCCGGCUAACUACGUG